AUACGGAGGGAGCGAGCGUUAAUCGGAAUUACUGGGCGUAAAGCGUGCGCAGGCGGUUUUGUAAGUCAGAUGUGAAAUCCCCGGGCUUAACCUGGGAACUGCGUUUGAAACUGCAAGGCUAGAGUGUGGCAGAGGGGGGUGGAAUUCCGCGUGUAGCAGUGAAAUGCGUAGAGAUGUGGAGGAACACCAAUGGCGAAGGCAGCCCCCUGGGUCAACACUGACGCUCAGGCACGAAAGCAUGGGGAGCAAACAGGAUUAGAAACCCCAGUAGUCC
rnacentral:rRNA from 1 species